UGAAAUGUUGCACUGCAUUGCAUACCAU
rnacentral:sRNA from 1 species